AAAGUCGUAACAAGGUUUCCGUAGGUGAACCUGCGGAAGGAUCAUUAACAAUUCGAUGUCUUUUCGAGCAUCGUCCACACCCAUGCCUUUCCACUUGCCGCGCAGGCCCGUUUUGCCUUGUGCAGAGCAGCCUGCGCCGGCCUCGAUAUACCAAUAUCGGCAUUAAACAAACGAGAAACCAACGAGUAGCCGCGAGUUUGUACUAUGCGUCGGUAAAACGGCGCGCCAAAUAUAAUACAACUUUUAACAACGGAUCUCUUGGCUCUU
rnacentral:misc_RNA from 1 species